UACGUAGGGUGCGAGCGUUAAUCGGAAUUACUGGGCGUAAAGCGUGCGCAGGCGGUUUUGUAAGCCAGAUGUGAAAUCCCCGGGCUCAACCUGGGAAUGGCAUUUGGGACUGCAAGGCUUGAGUGCGGCAGAGGAGACUGGAAUUCCUGGUGUAGCGGUGAAAUGCGCAGAUAUCAGGAGGAACACCAAUGGCGAAGGCAGCUCGCUGGGACGGUACUGACGCUGAGACGCGAAAGCGUGGGGAGCAAACAGG
rnacentral:rRNA from 1 species